ACUUAAAUAAUUUAAAUAAAAUAUUGAUUUGUGGUGUCAAAAAUAUGAGUUUCAUUUUAGGUU
rnacentral:tRNA from 1 species